rnacentral:rRNA from 1 species
AGAGUUUGAUCCUGGCUCAGAGCGAACGCUGGCGGCAGGCUUAACACAUGCAAGUCGAGCGGGCGUAGCAAUACGUCAGCGGCAGACGGGUGAGUAACGCGUGGGAACGUACCUUUUGGUUCGGAACAACACAGGGAAACUUGUGCUAAUACCGGAUAAGCCCUUACGGGGAAAGAUUUAUCGCCGAAAGAUCGGCCCGCGUCUGAUUAGCUAGUUGGUGAGGUAAUGGCUCACCAAGGCGACGAUCAGUAGCUGGUCUGAGAGGAUGAUCAGCCACAUUGGGACUGAGACACGGCCCAAACUCCUACGGGAGGCAGCAGUGGGGAAUAUUGGACAAUGGGCGCAAGCCUGAUCCAGCCAUGCCGCGUGAGUGAUGAAGGCCCUAGGGUUGUAAAGCUCUUUUGUGCGGGAAGAUAAUGACGGUACCGCAAGAAUAAGCCCCGGCUAACUUCGUGCCAGCAGCCGCGGUAAUACGAAGGGGGCUAGCGUUGCUCGGAAUCACUGGGCGUAAAGGGUGCGUAGGCGGGUCUUUAAGUCAGGGGUGAAAUCCUGGAGCUCAACUCCAGAACUGCCUUUGAUACUGAAGAUCUUGAGUUCGGGAGAGGUGAGUGGAACUGCGAGUGUAGAGGUGAAAUUUCGUAGAUAUUUCGCAAAGAACACCAGUGGCGAAGGCGGCUCACUGGCCCGAUACUGACGCUGAGGCACGAAAGCGUGGGGGAGCAAACAGGAUUAGAUACCCUCGUAGUCC